AUAAAUCCAUGGUUUGCCAAAAAGUUGCUCUCGGCCAACAGAAGUAUGAUUUUCACUAUCUAGAUUGAUGAAAUUGCCUUAACGGGCUACUCUUCCUAUCUUCCAUCUUCUGUUAGCCAAACAGGUAAUGGCCUAUUACUUUUCUACCAAACUUUCCAUUUUUUUUAUGAUCUUCAAUUUAUUAAAAUAGUUUAUGAAUUGCAAUUUAUUAUCAGAUUUAUGACAUUAUAUCAAUUCCUAUCGUUUAAUUUCACUGUUAAACUUCAUAAAAAUCAUUCACGAAAUCGUUCACCGCCGAAUUCAAAUCGUAAGUUCUUCUCUAUUUAACUACUGUAAUAUGAUAGCUCUUCUCCUACUCUUCCUCGAUGUUGCUUCCCCACUGACAUAAAAUAUGUUAUAUAUGUGACUGAAAAAUUCUCUCUGAAUCUUUCUAUAAUUUUCUUUCUAAAGAUUCGAAUUAAAUAUGAAUUGUUAUCAUACGCUUCUCAAUUGCCUUUGCUUACUCAUUUUAUUAAUGUUUUCCGCUCAUAUUGGCAAAUAUAAUUUAAUAUUAUCCACUGAUUAUCACUGAUUUGUCUCUUAUGGUGUUUCUAUAUAAACAUUUUGACUCAAAUGGCUAGCAUAUGGUCUGUCCAAAUAUAGUAAAUUCAAUUUUGGUGUCUUCUUAAUCUAUCUUCUACACUACUUUAAAAAAUUUAACUCAUUAACUUGAAAUUACUAAUAAAAACCCUAACUCAUUUAUUUAAAAUGAAGUUAACUAAAUUUCAAAAAUACCCAAUUCCAUUCGGCUCUACCACCCUAUAUAGUUGCGCUGCAAAAUUCUGAAUAUAUAUCAAUGGACGCUUUUGACCAAACGCGAUGGAAAUAACCAAACAAUUUUCCAUCUUCUCUUUCAUUUUCUCUGGAUACCAAGUAUAUGUCCUUUACUUUGCAAUCACCACACUUUCAGACUUUUGUAAUUAGAUAUCAACUUUAAACACUUUAUGCUGUUGAAACUUAUGUUUAAAUUCAAUGUCAAUAUUGCUUCAAUCUACUUCAGAUAUUAGCAUUUAAAUCAGAUACUUUUAUGAUUUUUCAUUUCUCUGUUUCUCUCCAGGUAUUUGAAGUUGUAAGUCGCUUUAUAUGAAACUGCUGUGGUACAUAUCAGAAUUUUGCUAUCUCACACAUCAAAACUGCAUUAUAUGCAUUUCUUAUUUGGGUUCGCAAUUUUUUUUUGUAUUUUCACUUCUCUAUUUCCGUCCAGCAAUUUAAGUCGUAAUUUCCUUUAUAUGAAACUGUCAUAGUGCCAUUUAUUACUUUAUUUUCACACUCAUAUCGUUGUACUUCAACUCAUGUCAGCACCAUGUGUGUUUCAAAUUUCGUUUCGCCGGAAGAAAAAAAACAGUUAAGUAUGUCUUUCCACUUCACUAUUUCCAUCUAACAAUUCAAGUUAUAAGUUUCUUUAUGCAACUGUUAUAUUAGAGGUUGCCUCUUAGUUGUUACUUUGAUAUAGUGAGGGUGCGUUGAGGUGAGUUGAUGAGUUUGUCUUAAUAACUAUUAUUACAUAAGUUUUUUCUAUAACUGAAAUUUGAGUCCCUACGUUAAGAAAUAUACGCCUUCGCGACUGAACUACAGGUUUACAUACUUAUCCAUUUCGUUUUUUGUAAAAUGUUUCUUAACUCUGCGAAUGUGUAUGAAAGUCGUGGAGUCAAGAAAUAUAUAAUAAGUUCUACUUUACGACAUUCGUGUUGUAGUUUUAUAUGACCCCUCUCCGUAUUGUCAUACAUUGCAAAGCAUUUCAAAUUACUACCUUAAAAUUUAGAUGUUUCAUUUAUUCUAAUUCUUCUUGUCAUUUUUGAUAGUUCAUUCACUUGCAAUAUCUACUUGCCAUGGUAAACUUAAACCAAAGAAACAAAUGUUUUAAUUUGUCCGUGAAGAAGAAAUCAGAGCUAUUGAUUCUAAGAUUUUAUUCGGUUAACUUAACACACCUCCGUAACUUGUAGUAAAAUGUAUAUUGUAUUACUAUUCAAUUUUUUGGUGAUGAAGGUCUUGGUAAUUCAGCAAGGCCUACUGUAACCCGAAGCAUGAAGGUGUUUAUUAGACUAUAAUAUUAUUAUUAGUUGAUGAUGAGAUAAAACAUUUUCAACUUGUAUGAUAUUGUUUAUUUAUUUACAAUUCCUUACAAACGACACUUCUCCAUAAUAAAAAAUGGCAUAAUUUCUUAUUACCAUAUAAGAGCUAUUACAUUAUCAACGGACACUUGAAUCAGAUGAAUCCCAACUACUCUUAAGUUCACUAACAAGUUGAAAUAACAUUUAUUUUACUCUUUGACAAUGGCAUUCUCACCCUAAAUUUUUCAAAGGGCUUUGCAUCCUUGAAAGAGGUGGAUACUUUAACCACUGACACUAUCUUUGAUAAGUACAGUUUAACGACUUUAAUAUAUAACUCAAAACUUAAUACAUACUUAUAACAUAAUGUUCUUGCUCUUCAGAUGUAAUUUGCAUGUUAGUUGCGGUGAAACCACUUAUUGGAGAAGGAAGGAGCAAGAGAACAAGACUAACAGUUAUAAAUGAAACAUUAGGGUAUUUGGAUG
rnacentral:lncRNA from 1 species